AAAGCUGAAAGGGCUGCACUGGAACAACACAGAUGAGAUAUUCUACACAUUAAUCUACUUAUCUGGAAUCACUUUGCCUCUAAAGGCCAGAGAAAAAUCACAGCUUCCUUGUCGGAGGGGAAAAGGACAGGUGAUCUGGGGAAAACGCAGCUACACCUGGAGCAAGGUCUCUUCCCGGCUUGGCAAUCUCAGCUGUGCCGGCGCUACGGGACCCGAGCCGUCCCAGAAACCAAAGGGCAGGCACGGCAGCAAACGCCUGAGGACUGAGAAGACGUCAAGGUCCAGACACUCGUCAUUAACACCUACUCACAACCGAUUCCCCCACCCACUUUGGCCUCACCAAGAUUUGGCAAGCAGGAGAAUUAAAUGUCACUUUGCUACCAUCCUCUGCUGAACCUCCAACAGAAAAACCCAUAUUGCCCAAGUACAAAGCAUGAAAUACUGCUGGCCUACCCUGACUUUUCAGCUAUUCUCCUUGCAUAUAGUAAAUGACUCCCCAGGAGACAUCAUCUUAAAGUCUGAGACACAAAAAAGGACCCAAAGUCCUAUAUGCUUGAAGAAUUGCAUGGCAAUAUAUUUAGUUAACAUUUUCUAUUUUAUUAGAAAAAACAGACAAUUCAAUUGUCGAUGUGAUCGUUUCAGGCUUCCCAGCCUCUCCUUUCUGACAUCAUCCUAUAUACUACAACCUCCACCAGAAAAGCAGUAUGGUACUGGGAAAAAGAGAUCUAAAGGCAGAACACUAGGGCUUCACUCUCAGCACUGUUAACUGAGUGACUUGACUAAGUCACUGAAAUUCACUGAAACUGCAGUUUCCCCUUCUGUCAAAGGGGGAUAACAAUAUCAGCUUCACAGGGUGCUGUGAAGGAAGCAAAUGAGAAAAUGAAAGUGAGCAUCCUUUUAAAUUAUAAACAGAGAAUAAGGGAGAGGGGAGGGGGAAGGGGAGAGGAGGAAGAAAGGAAACAAUCUGCCCUCCCUCACCCCUUCACACUAGGUAAAAUAAAAUGUUUAGACAGAAAAACCUAAAGAAAAGGAUCCAAAUAAAAUAUUCUUAGGAACUGUCAAAGGGAGAAGACAUUGGAAUCUCCAAAUCUGGCCAAGAGCUCAGCCUAAGCAGCAUGUUUUGAACUCCUGAGUCCUUGGAACCCUGCACUAAAGCUUUGGGACUCUGACCUGCAGGAAAAAAAAAAAAAAAAUGCUUCCCUCAGUUCAUUCCCUGUAGUUUAAAAACAAGAGCAACUAAAGGGCAAGCUUCGGGGGCAAGGGGAGACAAACACCUCAGACCAUUAACUUACUUUAUCCCCAUUGGAAAUCAACUUCUGGAGAACAUUUCAGCUUUGUAUGCUCUUCUUGGUCCCACUCAAAUGGGAAGUUCUGCUCGAGGCCAGAAAUAGAAAACAGGAAGUCAACAGAACUGAUUUUCCUAACUGCCCAAAUGCAAAUCACCACACUCCGUUAUGGAUGAGAAUUAGAGUAAAAUGUAAACUUCUUUUUAAAAAGAAGUUCACAUGCUAACUGUGUACAGAAAACAUCCUACUCCAGGGAAGAAAGAAAGAAAGAAAGAAAGGAAAGAUCCAUCAGCUUCCUUCCUUAAUAAAGGAGGAUUGACAGAGCUGGACUGACAGUGAAGUAAAGGUUACCGACGGUGUGCUCAUCAGAACCAUGCUGCCACUAAAAAUAAUGAAGUGUCCCACUUUGAUGCGACACUAUUCUCCAAGUUGGUUCCUCUAAAGGUGCUUUUCUUCAAGGGAAGCAGAUACUAAAGUGACAACUUUCUCAUUACCAUUCAGACUAUUUUCUUAGAGUCCCAGGUUUGAAACUUUCAAGUUGAAACUCUAAGCUGCACCCACUGCAUACAGACUUCUUAGUCAGUUUCUGUCACGUACCAUCAUAUCUACCUUAUUUGCAUCAGUCAUAAAUUCUGCUCAUUCUUCUAUCACAGCUCCUCUGACAUUUGCCAGACCUCACCAUUUCCUCAGCCAUUUCUGGUCUGAAUCAUCAGCCCCCCAUGCCUGCUGCCUGCUCUCUUCUAUAAACAUACCAGAUGAAUCUUUCCAGCAUGCUGCUUCCCCUGCCCCCAAGUCAGCCACAGUUCCCUACUACCUAUUGAUCACAUCUGAGUUGCCUCAGCCAGUGGUCUUGCCAUAUCUACCUAGCUUAGGCUGAGUGUUAUAGGAGAAAGUGCACUAGCCCGGGCACCAGAUGGAUCAGCCUGCCUUGUACUUCAUGCAGGUUGAACAGAAAUGUUUUCUGAGCAUGUAUUGUUACAGCCCUCUGAGAUGGUAUAAAAGAAUGAAAGAAGACACGACCUGCCUUCCAGGAGUUUCACAAAAAAGAUGGGAUGAACACAGUGUUCACUUCCACCUUCCACCCUUUCACUAUGAAGGACCCUCACCAGAUGGUGGCACCAUGCUCUCGGACUUCCCAGCCUCCAGAACUGGACGGGUAAAUUGAAGCAAAAAGCAGACAAGUUCUAUGGGAUUUGCUGGCAUUGAUUUCCCAGGAUGGCAAAGUGCUAAGAACUAAACCUUUAAAGCUAACAAAAUGUACUGAUGUCUUUGCAAAGUAUCCAAGACCAACAAGAAAGUAAUUUCCCACCUCACCCUACCACCACCCAGAAAAGGAGCACAGAGAUGGGGAAGAGAGUGGCUGCAUCUGGCAUCCAGCCAGAGGAGUCCGUGCAGGGAUUCUGGAUCCCUCUUCCCCCACCCCACUGCCCUUCCCCCUCCACCCCAGCGUUUUGGAGAAGCAAGAAACUGUGAUGAUGCAGCUCCCUCAAGUAUCACAUGAAGAUAGUGGAAAGAGCCUCCUGAGGUAAAUAUGCCAUGUAGACAGAAACAAGCAAUGGCUCAACAGCAAUGUAUGAGGUCCAAGGACCAGGACCAAAGGGAAAAACAGCCAUCUCACCAGACACCUGCCUACGACCAGAUGCGUCAUCUCCAAUAUUAGCUAACUCCCUGGAACCUGGACUCAAGGUGUGAAAUAAAGGUUAAUGGGAAACCGCAGGAGUCAAAAGGAGGGGGCAGGAUUAUUGAGGAUUCAGGCUGUUGAGAAAUGAAAGUUUGGAUCACUCCCCAGAUAAAGAACCUUGACCAUUUAAGGGCAAUGGAAAUACAGAAUAGGCAGUAGAAGAAGGAAGCCAUAGAUACCAACUAUGGCCUCUCAAUCAAUUACAAAACUGAGAAUUCUGACAGUUUUGUGUAUUUCCUCUUUGCAUGUGAUGUAUAUGUGUGUAUUUGUAUAUAUUAACCAUUUUCCUUUUUCUCUCUUCAUUAUUUUAUGAAAGUUGUUGAAUAUAAACUCUACAAUUUAGCCUUUAGGUAAGAGAAUAUUCAGUGGGACUUUGAUUUGAGGAGUAUUUAAGACAGCCAGAUGAGACUACGAUAACUGUUGGAACUGUGUGUCUCCUCAUUUGGGGAAAGGGGUGAGAACUCUGCAUUUCUCUGAAGAACAGAGUUGACUUUGUGUUAUACAGAGUUCAAAUAUAUAUAUAAAAUGGUGCAUGUGGAAGCUAAGAAGCCAAAGGAGUUCACCAAGACAGUUAUCAAUAUAUUGCCUCUCCGCUCCAAAUCCACCCUUCUUUGCCCUGUUCCACGAUACUAAUCUGGCUCCUCGGUCAGCCAGUGCAAUGUCAUCUGUUGCUGGUAGAGUGUAGGGGAGACACUACAAGGUAUAGUAAAGGGGUCAGAUGCGGUGUCUCAUGCCUGUAAUCACAGCCCUUUGGGAGGCAGAGGCAGGAGGAUCACCUGAGGCCAGGAGUUUGAGACCAGCCUGGACAACAUGGUAAAACCCCAUCUCUACUGAAAAUACAAAAUUAGCACGCACCUGUAAUCCCAGCUACUCGGGAGGCUGAGGCAGGAGAAUCACUUGAACCUGGGAGGUGGA
rnacentral:lncRNA from 1 species